rnacentral:rRNA from 1 species
ACUGGUUUCACUCUCGGUAAACCCGGUGCUAACACCGGAUGCUUGUUUGAACCGCACGGUCUCACACAUAAAAGGUGGCUUCGGCUACCACUUACAGAUGGACCCGCGGCGCACUAGCUAGUUGGUGAGGUAACGGCUCACCAAGGCGACGAUGCGUAGCCGACCUGAGAGGGUGAUCGGCCACACUGGGACUGAGACACGGCCCACACUCCUACGGGAGGCAGCAGUAGGGAAUCUUCCGCAAUGGACGAAAGUCUGACGGAGCAACGCCGCGUGAGUGAUGAAGGUUUUCGGAUCGUAAAGCUCUGUUGUUAGGGAAGAACAAGUGCCGUUCAAAUAGGGCGGCACCUUGACGGUACCUAACCAGAAAGCCACGGCUAACUACGUGCCAGCAGCCGCGGUAAUACGUAGGUGGCAAGCGUUGUCCGGAAUUAUUGGGCGUAAAGGGCUCGCAGGCGGUUUCUUAAGUCUGAUGUGAAAGCCCCCGGCUCAACCGGGGAGGGUCAUUGGAAACUGGGGAACUUGAGUGCAGAAGAGGAGAGUGGAAUUCCACGUGUAGCGGUGAAAUGCGUAGAGAUGUGGAGGAACACCACUGGCGAAGGCGACUCUCUGGUCUGUAACUGACGCUGAGGAGCGAAAGCGUGUGGAGCGAACAGGAUUAGAUACCCUGGUAGUCCACGCCCUACACGAUGAAAGCUAACUGUUAGGGGGUUUCCGCCCCUUACUGCUCCCUCUAUCACACUUAACACUCCCCCCGGGGACUACCGUCCGAGACCGUCACCACAGGAAUUUACACGGGCCCCACCAGCCCUGCACCCUGUGGUUUAAUUCCAAGCCACGCCAACAACCUUACCAGGUCUUGACGUCGUCUGACAAUCCCACAGAUAAGACGUCCCCCUCCGGGG